CGGACAGCCCCGCUCUUGGACGUUAGAACCCCGCGAGGCAGGGUGAGGGGCGCCACCGAGGAAGCGCCCACCGGGCUCCCGGGGCUGCCAGGCCCCAAAUUGAGGAAGUUGACUGCCAGAUCACACUCUGUUGGCCCACGCAUAGAUUCCAUUCAUCCUUUCUAAUGUCUACACCAUAUUUUGGAUAACAUGCCAUCAUCUCACAUUGUGUUGAAAGAAGAAACCAGAAUGUUGGGGUUGAUGUAUGCCAUAUGGAUGAAUUUAAACAGUUUCGGCCUUGCAAUAAUUGGUAUACUUCUAAUUGCAUGUGAAAUUAUACUCUUUUUAACGAAAGAUGAAACUAUUCAGUGGCCACAUGUACCCAGUAACAGAGGGAGCAAAGCAAAUCUUAUCCUCAAAGAACUGCAGCUGCUUGUUAGAUCUACCUGGUGGUUCCAUAGAGAAACUGCUCAGAGAACCUGCCUUUACCUCGCCUAAAACAGAACUAUCCCGGAGCUCAGCAAAGGAGUCCAUUCAUCCUCUAUAACUGCUAUACAAUAUCUCUGUUAAAAUGCUGAGAAGAUUUAUCCUAAAAGAAGGCACCAAAGCAAUGGGGGCUGUGCAAAUAAUGAUUGGCCUGAUUCACAGUGCACUGGGAACUCUCUGAAUUCAUUGGAUUUUGCUAAGAGAGGAUUCAAGUGGUUCUGGUCCUAUCCCUAUAAUUGCUGUAGUAAUUUACUCAUUUUUGUCAUUAUUUUUUUUCAUCAACUCAGGAUCCAGUAGUGUAAUACAGAAGCCUGUUACGAGAUAUAAGGCACUUUGCCCUCGGAAAUCUCACUGUCGGAAUCCUUGGAAAUCACACCACGCACAACUUCUAUUUCUUCAUAAUUUGCAAAGAACCAGUGUGACUCCAGUCAAGAACAAAAGAUUAAUUGUGAAUUAGCGAAGAACUCUAAUUUUUUCAAGCAGCCACAUGGAAAACGCAUUCUAAUGAAAUCCUUUCCAUUGCUCUUUUUUCUUAGUUCUUCAAUAAAGCAUGCGAUUUGAUCACAAA
rnacentral:lncRNA from 1 species